GCAGCUUCAGCUCUUGUUCAUUUGAUUUGGGAUUAAAAGUUGGAGAUUGGGAUCGUCGAGGAACAACCUGAAUGGAAAGAGAAGCUUUUGAUGUCUUGUAUCCAGACGAAGCUUCUCUUGUCCUAAAAUUGCAAACCAAAGACCACAACGAAAGUUAAUUUUUGCACAAAUAAUAUCGCAAUGCAAGACUCCAUUGUAGCUACAUAGCAUGGAUUCCAUAGAGAAAAACCAAAAUUAAGAGAAAGAGGAGAAGAAAGAAGGAGAAAAGGAGCUGCAAGUUGGCAGAAGCGUUCGUUCAGAAAGGGGAGAGUGCAGAGAAGAGCUUAAUGUCAUUUUAUGAUCUGUCUUUACUGAUAAAAAGAUAAAUUUUGCCUGUCUGUCUCAUGUCCUCCUCACGAGAAUGCCAUGGUCGGGUGGGUUCCUUACUCCUUACACUCGUGCUCUGCAGCGAAGAUGAAUUAAAUGGACUGGAGAUGAAGGAAAGCGUCAGUCUGUUAUGGAUAAUUGUUAUUUAUCUUUUUUUUUUAAUAAAUAUUUUGUCAAAUACUAUAUAAUCUUCUUAAGGGUUUGUUUGAUUGAUUUUUUAAGUAA